rnacentral:rRNA from 1 species
AUGGUUGUCGUCAGCUCGUGCCGUGAGGUGUCGGGUUAAGGUCCCACUAACGAGCGCAACCCCUACCUUUACGUUGCCAUCAGGUUAAGCUGGGGACGUCUAAAGGAACUGCCUACGCAAGUAGUGAGGAAGGCGGGGAGUGACGUCAAAUCAGCACGGCCCUUACGUCCAGGGCUACACACGUGCUACAAUGGCCGAUACAGAGGGCAGCUACCUGGUGACAGGAUGCAAAUCUCCAAAGUCGGUCUCAGUUCGGAUCGGAGUCUGCAACCCGACUCCGUGAAGUUGGAUUCGCUAGUAAUCGCGCAUCAGCCAUGGCGCGGUGAAUACGUUCCCGGGCCUU